UUACCUAUUGAAUCUUUGGUGAACAAACAGGAGGAGCAAUGACAUCAACUGUUUGCAUUAAGACAUUAAUCUUUCCACUUCACCUUCUGCCUUCAUUUCUUCUGUAGUCCAGUUGCUUUGGUUCUUUCUUACUUGCAGACCUGCUAAAGAUAUCAAAACAAGUCAAAAAUAGAAAACUAUUUAUUUUUACCUAAGAAUCUGUUGCUGAAGGACAUUCUGGUGAGCUAUGUGAUCAGAUAAGUGAUGCUGUUCUAGAUGCUCAUCUCAAAAUUGAUCCAGAUGCCAAGGUUGCCUGUGAGUUUCUCCAGUAGCUGGAUGCCAGUCAGGACUUUCACAGCCAGUAAAGAGCUCAGCUGUGGCACUCUGAUUCAGAAGAGAAGGAAAAGGAGGAAAAAAGCUGCAAAAAAAUUGAACAGAAUAAAAGAAAGAAAUAAUACUCCAGUGCAAAUUAAAAAUUAUGAAAAGUAAAAAGUAUACUAGGUGGUAUCAUGGAAAAGAAAACACUGAGCUGAAAUUCUUGUAUUUGGAGAGACAACCCUACAUACUUGAUCUGCUCUUACAGACAUCUGCUUCUGCCCAAUGUGAAGAUAGGAUAAUUGGCUAUGACGGUCCCCAAAUGCAUGCAGGCUUUUAAAUGUUCAUAUGAGCUGAAGAGAGGAGUCCUUGCACAAAGACUCAUAAGUGUGCUAAGGCUUUACACUGAGUUUCCCCUGUGAUUAAUCGUUUGCUCAUAGAAUAAUCUUCAGGAUCUCUCUGUAAAAUAGCAUAUGUAAAAUUCUGAGAUUUUACUGACAUAUUUUCUCUUGAGUGUGUGGCAAAAACUGGAAUGAUUUUGCUCUGUGGAGGGAUCACAUCCCAGGCUAUAGUAGAUUAUCAACAAAUUGUAAGAAGGACCCUGAAGAGGAUAGCAUACAAUGACUCUUCCAAAGGUCCCGAUGGAAUAGAAGGAAUGUAAUGUUGCACGGGAGCCCAUCCAAGUGCACACACUUGUGAUUUCAGUAAAUCAUGCACUGAACAUACUGCUACAGCAAAUACAGAAUGAGCCGAUGGUGAAAGUUGUUAAAAAGUCAUUCCAGAGAAGUAUCUUGAUGAGGCCCAUUUAUCAUUUUCUUCCAAGUGAAAAGUUUGUAGAAGGUGGUCCUAAGGUAUGGUACUUUGAUAAAUAACAGCCUGUGCAGACUUAGACUCCACCAUGUGCUUGUAAAUGUUCUCUUGAACUGUAUGGCAUACCUUUAACCAAAAAGUCCUUGCAUUUUUAAGGAAGCUUCAGUUACUUCUACUGGAGCUUUCUUACUGGACAGCUAUACCUGCUCGGGAGCUACAUGUACACAUUCCUGGAUCUUUGACUUGCUUUCAGAGAGUAUUUUAAAUAAGGAAAACCCAGUUCUUAAGUUAUGUGCUGAAAUGGCUGGCUGGCAGUAUCUCUUCACUUCCACAAUAAAAAUCACCACCAGAAAUAACAAUCAAUCUGAUAUCUACACUGAAAUUACUCACAAAAGCUGAACAAAUUUCAAGGAAUACUUAACAUACUAAGUAUCAAUAGUCAUUAGAACUUGACAUAUGUUCUGCUUUCCAGGUGUUGGCACUAGAUAAGAAAGGCACUUGCUAUGAAAUUGUAAAAAGUUACAUUACACAAAACUCUGUGUAGAGAGUUCAAAAGGAUUAAAACGAUGAGGUGUGCUUUUAACCAUGCUGGAAUAAUGAAGGGAUACCACUUUAAUUGAGAAAUAAAUGUUGGCUUUGCUCCCAUGUUACUUAUUUGGAGAUUUGAAAAUAGUGGAUUAAUGCCAUUUAUCCUCUUUCAGGAUAGAAUUUCUCAGCACUCUGGAGGUCAUUUAUCAGCAUGUAGUUGCCAGCUUUACUAAUUUGACAGAGAGGCAGUACUUCUCUUGGUUGAGUAAGUUAGAUCAACUCAUAAAGUUGUAGGAGGUAGGCAAAAUCUAUGCAGGAAUUUGAGACCAUUACCAGGGGUACAGGAAGGAAGAAAGAAGUAUUGUAUCACUUGUGUCACCAGUGAACCAUUAAUGUGAACUGAGCUAAAUUUCUCAGUAGUCUUGUGCUAAAAACAUUGAGCUGUAGUUUCAUUAAGCCCCUGUUUCCCAUUUAGUAUGUGUAUCUAGGUAAAGCUUGUCGACCUUUUAGAUUGUAUGUGAUCUCUUUCUGCUUCUCUUAAGUUCUUGGCCUUCUUCAAAGUGCUGCUGAGUGAAGACGUUGACCAGAGAGAGCAUUUUGUCAUUGCUGAUUUGAAGGGAGCAUUCUUUUUGUUAUUUUUAUAGUUGUGCUGCAUUGUUAAAGGUUUUCAAAAGUGACAUCAGCACAGAUGGCUUAGUACAUUUCUGAAAAGUACUCCAGUCACGUAGUGAACUCUUUCAUUAAGCAGUUGCAUGGGAAUGUGAACAUUGUGAACAUAGUCACAUAUGUGACAAAUAGAAAAGAAAACUGUACUCACAAACCUAAUAUGGUAUUGGAUGAGCUAUUGUGUCUUGUGAAUAAAUUUAGUUGUUUCUCCUUCAGGCUGAUGCUGGACUGAUUGGCCAGAAGAUAAUUCUUGACAGGUACAGAGGCUGGGGAGUCCAUGGUGGAGGUGCAUUCUCUGGAAAAGAUCCCUCCCAAGUUGACAGUUCUACAGCAUAUGCAGCCCACUGGAUUGCAAAAUCUCUGGAGAAAGCUGGUCUCUGUAGAAGAGUAUUAACCCAGAUAAGAACAACUGUAAAAAUUCUGAAACACAAAUUCUGUCUCAGAGUACAUACCACCAUCACAGCCUCUCUCCAGCUGCAGAAAAUCUUUUCUCAUAGGGGCUCCUGGAAUUUUUUAGGAGCCUUAUGAGGGAAGCCAAAGAUAUAGGUCAGAUUUGUCCUGAAACAAAGACUGUGUUCUCAGUAAUGUUCUUUCUCCAAUUCCUUUGUCAUCCUGGGCCUAGGUACUUCUUUGCAUCAUUCUUGCAUUUUAGCUGUUCUGCACACACCUGCACACCCGGCACCCCAGCCUGGGCUGCACAGCACAUUACAGUCAUGGGAGCACUUCCUAGAUGCAGCUGUUCAACUUGCAACUUGCAGUAUGGUCAUAUUGGAUGCAACUAAUCUGUUUUAAGCUGCACUUGAAAUUACCUUAAUUUGUUCCUAGUAUUCUCCUCUGGUAUAGGGUGUGACUAAAAGCAAAAUUCAGCUGUUUUAGGGUUUAAGACAAGAACAACUUCCAUUAGUCUUAUAUGCUCAGAGAAAAAACAGUGCACUUCCUUGUGCAUGAUUUUUUUUUAUAAGUCAAAAAAGUAAAAAGAGAUAUUUUACUGACACCUUGACACUUUCACAUGGACACAAUGUGACUAUUAAAGUGACAUUUGCCUAGGCAAUUUGCAAUACUAGUUAUAUAAAUACUUGUUCCGAGUAGCUGCUAUGUCCUAAGUAAGUAAAAUGUAGCAGCAAUGUUUUGGUGCAGUAGUGUGUUCAAAUCUUUUUGAUUUCUCUGUGGAGCAGAGGAGAAGCCCACUGCAUGUGAUUAUGAUUCCCAAUGUAGUAUCCAGACAUCCCAAUUAGCAACAAAGCUUCUUGCUUCAGAUGUUGCGCACAUGUUUGACACCUGAUAGUUUGUAGUUAGUCAAUAAAAGGGUAGAUUUGGAAUAAGCCAAACACAAAUGAGUUUUGGUUACCAAAUUGUUGACAAUUUUUUUUUCCCUAGGGAAAGAAUACAAACUUCUGAUCUCUUUGUAUACACAUUUUGAGAGUAAUUUUUGAAGAUCUACAUCACUUAUUUUUGAGUUAGGUGGGAAUGUUGUUAUUCCAGUAAUUCUCAAAAUCUCUCUUUAAAUACCUGAACCUGUUUCUAGACAAGGAAAGAGUAAUCUCUUUAACAGCAAUUAUGGAGAUCUCAGGUACUAGCAAUGAAGAUAAAAUGGGAAGGCAGGAGACAAAAAAAGCCAAUGUCCUUUGAAGUCUUCAAAGGCUGGAUUAAAUAUUAACAGAAGGAAUAAUAUGUGAAAUGGAAAUGUAAAAUUGAUUUCAGCCCAUUACUGUCUAUGUGCUGCACUGAAAUCUUGCCAGCCUUCACUGAGGCUGACAACUAAGCUGGCUGUCCUAUGGAUUUUAUUUUCAUGUAAGCAUAUCUCACAACAAAAGGAAAAAAUGGAUAAUAGUGGUAACUGCAGUCUAAUUAGAUGUAUAGUUACACAAUAUUAUUCAGUGUUACAAAGAAUUGUCAGCUUAUUGGUUAAUGGCAAAUGGAUGUCAUAAUGUCAUAAAUAGCUAAGGGGAAGAUAGUCACAAUUAUAACAGUUUCUAUAAAACCAAAACAAAAGGAAAAAACCAAACCAAGCCAUAAAUAUUUGUAGAAUUCAGUCUCCAAUCUUUAAGGCAUUAAAUCCUUGUGUCUAGCUGAAACUGAAGGAUGAAGAGUGGCAGUAGCUGAGGAUUACAGAAAGUACCUCUUUUGCUUUGAAGGAGUAUCACCUAUGUCUGAUAUUUAACCAGGCUCUGAGGAAAACAUAAUUUUCUAACAUAAAAGACAAAUAGCAAAAAAAUAUCCUUAUGGUGACAGGAUGUUAGUAAGCUCCACCCUGAUACAUAUAAUAAGCCUUUCCUUUCUCUUAAGCAAAAAGCAGGAAGGACUGUAUUAAUUGUAUUUGGGUUGUAUGCUUGUAUUCUAUAGCUAUCAUAUGCUAUCUGUCUCACACCCUCUUGCCAUCUCCGUGUUCCAUUAUGGAACAUCGGAUAGAUAUGAAGAAGAGCUAUUUGAAAUUGUCCAUAAAGACUUUCAUCUAUGUCUUGGAGCUAUUAUAAGGUUUGUGUAAUGUUAGUAUUUACUGUAUGGAAUAAUUUUUAAUGCUCUCUGUUACAGUUUAAUUUUCUGGCUUAAAACCUCAAAAAAGUCACCUUCAUCAUAAAUCUCUAAUUGAUAUAAUUUCUGCUCUUCCAUCAUCCAGGCACCAAGUACAACACACAAGAACCAGUUGAUAAAUUGGGUCACUAAGUAAGUUAAGACCAGCCAAAAUUACACCAUGUAUAUCUACCAGUAACCCUAGUACUGAGCUGUGUUGUAAUUCAUUAGCCAGGUGGUAGUGUGCCUGGUGAAGCAGAAUUAAAUUUUAACAUUAGACAUAGUUAGGCUUUCCAAUCUGUUUACAGGGUGCAUAAGGCUCCAAAUCUCUGCCUUAUGUGAACUGCAACAGAAACAUUGGCUCUUUCUGAAAGAAAUGUUGGGCUGUAUGCCUUUGAUAUUCAGGUGGAAACAAUUUGUUAGACAGCUGAAAGGCUCUGGUGCUUCAUGUCACAGUUUGGAGUCAACAGAACAACUAAAAAGGAAUCCAUGUUUCUUAAAUGCUUUCUCAAGAUCUGAACCACUGUAAUGAAACUCUUGUAAUUGAACUACUGUAUAAAUUUAAAAACCAGAACAAGGACAGUCAUGAAAUGAAUGUUCUUGAAGUCAAAAUUCACUUGUGAUCAUAAGUGCCACUGAGGCUACCAUGCAACCAGACAGGACAUGCAAUCCCAAACCCAAUAACACUGCCUUUUGCAGCCCACCAUUUCUGGAAUAUUUCUGGGCCUGAAAUAGCAGGUUUUUUAGACAAAUACAAUCCUUACAUUUAAAGUAGCAUGGGAAUUACUAUUUUCUUUGAGAGAAGAAAGGACUGGAGGCGAUGAGCAGACCACUACCUGUCCUAAUCAGCAGCUACUAACUUAUAGUCCAGUGAGCUGUAAUUUUACCCUAUCAUUUUUCACUAUUUUUCUCCCAUUUGUGACUAACUCAUGAUUUUUUAUGUAAAUUUCAAGGCAACAGAACUUCUUGCCUUUUUGUAGUAUGGCUUCCUGAGACCUAAGAAUAUAGGUUUGUCUCAGUCCUGAGUAUCCUCUUCACUGAUUUUCACCAAACCUGAUAGACCUAGACCUCUUAGACAUUUUUUUGAAAUACUCAAGUAAUGGAGAGAAACACUAUCUCUUUCCACUUUUAAGGGGGCAACUACAUUGUGAAAAUUACUUGUAUUUGAUUUCUAACUUUCACAGUCUCCUUACAGUUUUAAUGCAAGCAAAUCUAUCUAGGAGAUAUUCACAAUUAAAUCAGCUUUGAUUGGGUAACAUGAAUAAUUUAGGCCUUUGAUGUGAUCAGAUGUUAAAAUGGUUGAGGAUAUUGAUGCCAUUUCUAUUCUGCCAGGGAAAUCUACUAUUGCUUACUCAAUUAACUUUGUAGUGAAGUGGAUGAAGUGGGUGAGGUAAAUUUAGGAGCUCCCUGUGAGAGAAGAGCAGAAAUAGCACAAAUUGCUGUAAUUAUUUCAGCCAGAACUUCCACAACUACAGCUUUAGUUAAGGUGCUUCAGUUAUGUUUAAACAAAUCUGUAGAAAUACCCAUUUCUGAACAUUGGUCAUUGUACAUAUGUUAUAUGUACAUAUACCUAUACCCUACAUAUACCUACCUCUUAUGUAGUGCUAUUUGUUUGCUUGGAACAUUAUGAUUUUGUAGUUGUAUCUGUGAAAAUUGAUGAACUCCUAUGUUGUGAUUCUUUUAUUCAUUUAUAGUCAUUCUCUCAAACUUGAAUUUUCCAUGAAUUGGAAUUUGUUGUAUAAAUUUUCAAUUAAGUUUAUUUUGGCCACUUCUGAAAUGUAAUGAAAAUCAUGUACUUGGAGUACAUGAUUUUCCUUUCACUUUUCUGGCUGAAUGCCUAAAAUUCAGAGAGGACAUUCAAAAAUAUUUAAGGACUGAAUGAGCAUGAAAAUGCUUGAAUAUCAAAAGUAGCAAUUCUGGCAAGCAAAUUUAUAAUUUAAGUGGUAACUAAGACACAAUGUUGGAAUGCUAUGACUGCUGUAAUACCAGGAAAUUUUAAUAAACAGUUAAGCAACAUGGGUACCUCACCCCUCUUAACAGAAAGGUAAAGGCUCCUGUGGUAAGUCGAACCAAAUGCAAGUAGCUGAUUAUAGUCUCAAGCAAGUUUUUAAAAGCUUCUUCCUUUGCAAAAACUGAUCAAGCCACUGCUCUGUUGAUAGACCAGAUCUGAAGUGAGGUCACCAUACAUCUGUACCUGUACCUUACCUGCCCUGGUAUAGUUAAUUUGAUCUAGCACAGGAGUGCUGCAGUCAGUCCUUGUGACCUAUACAUGAGGCACUUUUUUUUUUAGUUUCACAAAACUAAUUUCUGCAAUUCUUUUGUGGGCAAUUUUACAUUUUUAAAAUUUAAUAACAAGUUUUGCUUUUUAUCACAGGAUCCUGGACCCUUUCACUGCCUGAAAAUAGUCUAGUUUAUUUUGCAUAUGGCCAUGUCGGCAUAAAAUCUUAUCAAUAACCUUUAUUAAAAUUUGUUCAAAUUAGUAUUGCCUAACAAAUGGUUAUCUAGCUUGCUAAUUCUGAAAUGUCAGAGUAAUAUCCACUUUUAGUAAUGUAGGGGUACAAUGUUUAAAUGGCAAGGGAUUGCAGAGAUGACGAUGACCACACAGUAAAAUGACCUUUUCAAAGAGAGUUCAGUAAAUGGGCAUAUAUGUCUCAAUUACAGCUAGUAUCAAAUUUACUGUCAUAAUACUUUACCCUUCCAAAGUGAAAGAGUGAUGUUUUGGUUCUCAUAGAAGAAGACCAUUUUGAUAAAAAGUCUUACGUUAAAUUUAAUAAAGAAAUUAUUUGUUCAA